CAGCAGCCGCGGUAAUACAGAGGGUGCGAGCGUUAAUCGGAUUUACUGGGCGUAAAGCGUGCGUAGGCGGCUUCUUAAGUCGGAUGUGAAAUACCUGAGCUUAACUUAGGAAUUGCAUUCGAUACUGGGAAGCUAGAGUAUGGGAGAGGAUGGUAGAAUUCCAGGUGUAGCGGUGAAAUGCGUAGAGAUCUGGAGGAAUACCGAUGGCGAAGGCAGCCAUCUGGCCUAAUACUGACGCUGAGGUACGAAAGCAUGGGGAGCAAACAGGAUUAGAUACCCUGUAGUCCCUGUCUCUUAUACA
rnacentral:rRNA from 1 species